rnacentral:rRNA from 1 species
AACGCUAGCUACAGGCUUAACACAUGCAAGUCGAGGGGCAGCGGGAUUGAAGCUUGCUUCAAUUGCCGGCGACCGGCGCACGGGUGAGUAACGCGUAUCCAACCUUCCGUACACUCAGGGAUAGCCUUUCGAAAGAAAGAUUAAUACCUGAUGGUAUGAUGAGAUUGCAUGAUAGCAUCAUUAAAGAUUUAUCGGUGUACGAUGGGGAUGCGUUCCAUUAGGUAGUAGGCGGGGUAACGGCCCACCUAGCCAACGAUGGAUAGGGGUUCUGAGAGGAAGGUCCCCCACAUUGGAACUGAGACACGGUCCAAACUCCUACGGGAGGCAGCAGUGAGGAAUAUUGGUCAAUGGGCGGAAGCCUGAACCAGCCAAGUAGCGUGCAGGAUGACGGCCCUAUGGGUUGUAAACUGCUUUUAUACAGGAAUAAAGUUAGCCACGUGUGGUUAUUUGUAGGUACUGUAUGAAUAAGGACCGGCUAAUUCCGUGCCAGCAGCCGCGGUAAUACGGAAGGUCCAGGCGUUAUCCGGAUUUAUUGGGUUUAAAGGGAGCGUAGGCCGUCUGUUAAGCGUGUUGUGAAAUGUAGAUGCUCAACAUCUGAAUUGCAGCGCGAACUGGCAGACUUGAGUGUGCGCAACGUAGGCGGAAUUCGUGGUGUAGCGGUGAAAUGCUUAGAUAUCACGAAGAACUCCGAUUG